CACUUUAAAACUAGUCCACCUCAAUAAACAAAAAACCAUAUAAAUACCCCCUAAUAUAAUAAUCAAAUAAAACAAAACAUUUUGCCCCCUAAGUAUAGGAGAUAGAAAAGGAAAAAGGAACUAUAAAAAAAGUACCGUAAGGGAAAGUUGAAAAAGAAAUGAAAAAAUUCAGUUAAGUACAAAAAAGCAAAGAUUAAACCUUGUACCUUUUGCAUCAUGAUUUAGCUAGUAAUAUUUAAGCAAAGAGAACUUAAGUUUAAAACCCCGAAACCAAGUGAGCUACUCCAAGACAGCCUAUAUAUAGGGCCAACCCGUAUCUGUGGCAAUAGAUUGGGACGAGCUUCGAGUAGAAGUGACAGACCAACCGAACUUGGUUAUAGCUGGUUGCUAGAAAAAUGAAUAGAAGUUCAGCCUGAUUUUUUCUCCCACCAACUUGUACAUUCUAACAAAGUCAAGGAAUAAGAAAUCAGAGUUAGUCAACAGGGGUACAGCUCUUUUGACCUAAGAAACAACUUUACAAGGAGGUUAAAAAUUAAUUUAAAAAGCCCAUACCCUGGUGGGCCUAAUAGCAGCCAUCCAAUAAGAAAGCGUUAAAGCUCAAGCAAUAAUUAGCCUUAUAUUCCAAUAAUCUAUUUUAAACCCCUAAAAAUAUCUAGCCUUUCCAUAAUUAAUGGAAUAGUUUAUGCUAAUAUGAGUAAUAAGAGAGCCAGACUCUCUCUUGACACAUGUGUAUAUCGGAACGAACACACACCGAAACUUAACGCUCCCAAAUCUCAGAGGGCAAUGUAAAAUAAAUAAAUAACAAGAAAACCCAUCAAAUAUUAAGCGUUAACCCUACACUGGUGUGUCUCCUAAGAAAGACUAAAAGAAAAAGAAGGAACUCGGCAAACAAAUUAAGCCUCGCCUGUUUACCAAAAACAUCGCCUCUUGCACACCCAAGUAUAAGAGGUCCUGCCUGCCCUGUGACUAUAAGUUUAACGGCCGCGGUAUUUUGACCGUGCGAAGGUAGCGCAAUCACUUGUCUUUUAAAUGAAGACUUGUAUGAACGGCAAGACGAGGGCUUAACUGUCUCCUUUUUCCAGUCAAUGAAAUUGAUCUACCCGUGCAGAAGCGGGCAUAAGAACAUAAGACGAGAAGACCCUAUGGAGCUUUUAGACGCACAGAUAGACCACGUUAAAAACCAUAAUCAAAUGACUAAACCAAGUGGUACCCAUCUCAAUGUCUUUGGUUGGGGCGACCACGGGGAAAUAAAUAACCCCCAAGAGGAAUGAAAGUUUACUUUCAUAUUUAAGAAUUACUAUUCUAAAAAUCAGAACAUCUGCCCGCAUGACCCGACAAAGUCGAUCAACGAACCAAGUUACCCUAGGGAUAACAGCGCAAUCCCCUUUUAGAGUCCCUAUCAACAAGGGGGUUUACGACCUCGAUGUUGGAUCAGGACAUCCUAAUGGUGCAGCCGCUAUUAAGGGUUCGUUUGUUCAACGAUUAAAGUCCUACGUGAUCUGAGUUCAGACCGGAGUAAUCCAGGUCAGUUUCUAUCUAUGAAGUGCUUUUCUCUAGUACGAAAGGACCGAGAAAAAAAGGCCUAUUCUAACAGAAAGCCUUCCCCUUACCUAUUGAAGUUAUCUCAAAUAGGCAAAAGGGCACCAGCCUUCCAAGUCAAAAACAAAGACAU
rnacentral:rRNA from 1 species